rnacentral:rRNA from 1 species
CCUACGGGAGGCAGCAGUGGGGAAUAUUGCACAAUGGGGGAAACCCUGAUGCAGCGACGCCGCGUGAGUGAAGAAGUAUUUCGGUAUGUAAAGCUCUAUCAGCAGGGAAGAAAAUGACGGUACCUGAUUAAGAAGCCCCGGCUACCUACGUGCCAGCAGCCGCGGUCAUACGGAGGGGGCAAGCGUUAUCCGGAUUUACUGGGUGUAAAGGGAGCGUAGACGGCAGCACAAGUCUGGAGGGAAAUGCCGGGGCUUAACCCCGGAACUGCUUUGGAAACUGUGCAGCUAGAGUGCAGGAGAGGUAAGUGGAAUGCCUAGUGUAGCGGUGAAAUGCGUAGAUAUUAGGAGGAACACCAGUGGCGAAGGCGGCAUACUGGACUGUAACUGACGUUGAGGCUCGAAAGCGUGGGGAGCAAACAGGAUUAGAUACCCUGGUAGUC